CCUUAUCUUUCGCUCACAGAACAUGCUGUAAGGUCUGUAAUUUAUUACAGUAUUAUUUUCUAGACACAGUAAGUUAUAUUAGUCAUUUUGCUCACCUGUGAAAGAUCAUUCAGAAGGUGAAAGACCUAAGAGAUAUGUUGCAAGCAUCAUAACUUAGUUGUCAUGAAGGAAGGAAAUAAAGAACGUCCAGUUUCUGUCCAGAACCAGUUGCAAGUGCAAAAAAAGAAAGUGCAAAGAAACCAGAAUGUAACAUUAUAGAAACAGUGCACCCCUGCCCAUGCUGCUGGGCACAUCCUGCUGGCUGCCACUAGUGCUGAGCUUUGGCAAGACAUACCCAUCAGCCUGGGAGACAUGCGCUUGGCACCACAGACAGGGACGCCCCCUAGAAGGACAGAUUGGGCCCCUCAGAGCUCAGCAGCAGCUAAGGGACCUGAUCCUUCCUUCUAAGGAGUGCCCAGGCUAGCCUGACUGGUUGACAGGAGAGGCCUAGAGCUGGUCACCAUAGCAAACCCAGCAGCCUGGCAGUGGCGGUGGGGGCUGGGGGGGGUGCCAUGGUGACCACCCUCCUCCCCCCCACCCUGAAGGUGAACAUUUCUUUUGUUUGCUCCUGAUCCAACCUACACAGCUUAAAGAAACCCACAUAGGUCUGAUCGAUUCCAACCUGGGCUUUUUGAAU